UGAGACGCCUUCAAAGGUUUCACUUGUCACUGUCGAAAAAUGCGAAACUUUGCACCUAACGAACAUUUUCCCGGCGCUAUAGCUACCUGAAUCCGUAUGCAGUGUAUUUGUUGGCACACAGUGCUUUUAUGGCUAUAAUUAUAAACACCACAUAAUUGUUUGACAGCUACAUUAGGACAUGAUGCUUUCUAAUAGUUAUGACAUACAUAUAGGGUGAUGAAACAGACUUGGCCAGGCAAGUGGCUGCUCUGAAGUGGCACAACAAAGAGUUAGAUCUGAGCAACAAGAAUCUUCACGAUCUUCGUUUCAUUCCAAGGAGUGGCCAUUUUUAUACUCUUUGUGCCUCUCUCUAAGCCAGUGAGGGAUGCAUACUCCAAAUGGUGGAAGGAAAAGUUGACAAAGCAUCGACGUCAAAACAUCAAGAGCACCACUCUCAUCAGUGUCAGCACCAGACUCAGUGUUACCUCUCCAUCCUUGGACAGUUCGUUGAAACUGGAGUCUAAUAAUUAUAUUCAGCAACUUGGCCAUGGAAAAAGAGUCAGGUGCACAACUUAGAAGAUGUUUGUAACACUGAGCUUGG